rnacentral:tRNA from 1 species
AGGGCUAUGGCUUAGUCAGUGGGAGGGUAUCUGCUUGGCAAGCAGAAGGACCCACAUUCAAUCCCUGACAGCUCCC